rnacentral:rRNA from 1 species
UUGAUCCUGCCGGACCCCACUGCUAUCGGGAUGGGACUAAGACAUGUUAGUCGUGCGCCUCCUAGCCAUGAUGGAGGCGCGGCGCACAGCUCAGUAGCACGUGGCUAACCUGCCCUUAGGACGGGAACACCCCCGGGAAACUGGGGCUAAUUCCCGAUAGGUGAGGAGGCCUGGAAUGGUUCCUCGCCCAAAAGGCGCUUAGAUCAUGCUUCUAGGCGUUGCCUCAGGAUGGGGCCGCGGCCGAUCAGGUUGUUGGUGAGGUAAUGGCUCACCAAGCCUUUAACCGGUGCGGGCCGUGGGAGCGGGAGCCCGGAGAUGGGCACUGAGACAAGGGCCCAGGCCCUACGGGGCGCAGCAGUCGCGCAAAUUUCGCAAUAAGCGAAAGCUUGACGGAGCCAUCCCGAGUGCCAUCCGCUGAGGAUGGCUUUUCCCUAGUGUAGAUAGCUGGGGGAAUAAGGAGAGGGCAAGUCUGGUGUCAGCCGCCGCGGUAAUACCAGCUCUCCGAGUGGUGUGGAUGAUUAUUGGGCCUAAAGCAUCCGUAGCCGGCUGGGCAAGUCCCCCGUUAAAUCCAACGAAUCAAUCGCUGGCCUGCAGGGGAUACUGCUCGGCUUGGGGGCGAGAGAGGCCGCCGGUAUUUCCGGGGUAGGGGUGAAAUCCUAUAAUCCCGGGAGGACCACCAGUGGCGAAGGCUGUCGGCUAGAACGCGCCCGACGGUGAGGGAUGAAAGCUGGGGGAGCGAACCGGAUUAGAUACCCGGGUAGUCCCAGCUGUAAACGAUGCAGGCUAGGUGUUAGGGCGGCCACGUGCCGCUCUAGUGCCGCAGGGAAGCUGUUAAGCCUGCCGCCUGGGGAGUACGGCUGCAAGGCUGAAACUUAAAGGAAUUGGCGGGGGAGCACCACAAGGCGUGAAGCUUGCGGUUUAAUUGGAGUCAACGCCGG